rnacentral:misc_RNA from 1 species
GCCUAAUUCUGUUAUUAUGGUUGUAUUCUUAGUCGUGAAAGUUUAGUAACAAAAUGAGUUAAUAGCAAAGCGCUAAAAAAUGUCAUGAUCAUCGUUGCAUUACAAUAGUUCUUUGGCUAUGAUUUGGAGCUAAACGAUUCUGUAUGACUCGUCCCUAGUCCUCGAAGCUGUACCGCCGGCUCCGCCCGCGCGCCUCAGUGAGUCAGUGACAGCGAGCGCGCCGCGAUGUGCGCGUGCGUCGCGACCCGGUCGCGGUCUACCGUUCGCUUGUUGUUGUUGCUCGUAUUUUUACCCGCCCACUAUGCGCAGACGAUACAAAUAGGAGUGGUGGAGGCGCGGCCGGAGGCGGCGGUGCGGCUGG